rnacentral:rRNA from 1 species
AGUAAUGCUUGGGAAUCUAGCUUAUGGAGGGGGAUAACUACGGGGAACUGUAGCUAAUACCGCGUAGAAUCGAGAGAUGAAAGUGUGGGACCUUCGGGCCACAUGCCAUAGGAUGAGCCCAAGUGGGAUUAGGUAGUUGGUGAGGUAAAGGCUCACCAAGCCGACGAUCUCUAGCUGGUCUGAGAGGAUGACCAGCCACACUGGGACUGAGACACGGCCCAG